GGAACUUCCGAACCGCGAGGCAAUGCAAGGAGCAGACUCGAAGUGGGAGAAUCAUCAGCUUUCAAGCGCCUCAGGGGAGAAACCAAUGAGCCGCAAGCACCAAGUGCUGAACAAAUCAUGAGUAACUCUUUGUCUCUACCGAUUGAAGCUAGUGCUAGUCCUGACAUUGGCAACCUUCUUCCUCCAAGGCCAAUCAUGAAUUCACUCUAUGAUCCAAUGUAUGAGGAGCUUGGACUGCCAAUUGAUCCCCAUCUCAGGCUAUUUGCCAAGUACAAG